GGUGGCUCAGUGGUAGAGUGCUUGUCUUGCAUACAUGAGGCCUGGGUUCGAUUCCUCAGCACCA
rnacentral:tRNA from 1 species